GACGUAGGAGGCGAGCGUUAUCCGGAUUCACUGGGCGUAAAGCGCAUGUAGGCGGUUCGAUAAGUCCGCUGUUAAAGCCCCCGGCUCAACUGGGGGAGGUCAGUGGGGACUAUAGGACUUGAGGGCAACAGAGGCACGUGGAACUCCCGGUGUAGCGGUGGAAUGCGUAGAGAUCGGGAAGAACACCAGUGGCGAAGGCGACGUGCUGGGUUGCGACUGACGCUGAGAUGCGAAAGUGUGGGGAGCAAACAGG
rnacentral:rRNA from 1 species